GGAUGCGAUCAUACCAGCACUAAAGCACCGGAUCCCAUCAGAACUUYSAAGUUAAGCGUGCUUGGGCGAGAGUAGUACUAGGAUGGGUGACCUACUGGGAAGUCCUCGUGUUGCCUUUA
rnacentral:rRNA from 16 species